rnacentral:rRNA from 1 species
UACGGGGGGGGCAAGCGUUGUUCGGAAUUACUGGGCGUAAAGGGCUCGUAGGCGGCCAACUAAGUCAGACGUGAAAUCCCCAGGCUCAACCUGGGAACUGCGUCUGAUACUGGAUGGCUUGAAUUCGGGAGAGGGAUGCAGAAUUCCAGGUGUAGCGGUGAAAUGCGCAGAUAUCAGGAGGAACACCGGUGGCGAAGGCGGGUCUCUGGGCAGUAACUGACGCUGAGGAACGAAAGCGUGGGUAGCGAACAGG